ensembl:lncRNA
CUGGUUUUAGGUGUUGGGCUUGGCUCGACGCGAUGGGGUGCGAGGGCCCUCAUAUCGCUGCUUGCAGCUUUAAUUAUUAUUAUUAUUAUUAUUAUUAUUAUUUCGGCAAAUGAAUCGGCCUUUUGAGGGCCUAAACAUGCUCGAAAACUCAUGAAAUUUUGCACACGCGUCAGGUCUGGUGAAAAUUUACGUAUUUUAAUGUCCGUAGACAUGUCCAGGGAAAAUUGGCUCAGUAGCGCCACCUAGAAAAAUGAGAAACGCGAGCCUCCGAGAUGGGUAUGACCUACAUGUAUAAAACUCGGAACACAUAUCUAACGUUCGGAGACGCACAUAAAAGUCUAUUAUGGCCAUGUCCUAAGCCCAACAGGAAGUCCGCCAUUUGGAAGUGAAGGUGACAUUUUGGCUCUAAUUUUGCCAUUUCCAUGCCUCGAACUUUUGCGAACUCCUCAUUGGAAUUUCA